GCCUUUGUGGUGUAGUGGUCAGCACGCUAGGCACGUAUUCCAGAGGUCCAUGGCUCAAAUCCUGGCAAAGGUG
rnacentral:tRNA from 1 species